GGAGAGAUGGCCGAGUGGCUGAAGGCGGCGGUUUGCUAAACCGUUAUAGGGCUUUAACUCUCUAUCGGGGGUUCGAAUCCCCCUCUCUCCGCCA
rnacentral:tRNA from 1 species